rnacentral:rRNA from 1 species
UACGGGAGGCAGCGGUGAGGAAUCUUGCACAAUGGGCGAAAGCCUGAUGCAGCGACGCCGCGUGAGGGACGAAGGCCUUCGGGUUGUAAACCUCUGUCAGUAGGGAAGAAGUAUGACGGUACCUACUGAGGAAGCUUCGGCUAACUACGUGCCAGCAGCCGCGGUAAU